rnacentral:rRNA from 1 species
UUUUUUUAUGGAGAGUUUGAUCCUGGCUCAGAGUGAACGCUGGCGGCGUGCCUAAUACAUGCAAGUCGAACGAUGAAGCUU